UCACUUCUCUAGGUGCUCGCCAACUCCUACAAGAACUCGUCGCAUGACUGAAUUCAAGAAGUUGACGACGCUGGCCGACACUCUCGCCCAAGAUGUGUCCACUUUGAAGGCCUGCUGCGCAGAUGACGGCGAUUGCGAUUGCAACGGGAGCGCAGCCAGUGGUGUUGACUCCCGUCUAUUUGCUUGUGAUGCGGAGCAUUUGCACAUGCUCUCGACCCGAAUUCGUGAGGCUGUCGCCGACGGUAUUCCAAGGCUGCGGAAAAUUGUGCUGAAAGCACGGGAGACGGAUCCCGAUAGGCAAAUCUACAACGAGGCGAUGUGUGCAAAGAUCGAAGCACUGUUCCUUGUGUUCUGUGAAGCCCUUCGGCUUUUAGCACCUGACUAUUUUGAUACUCUGACGGAGAGGGACGUCUCUCUGCCUGAGAAUGCCAAGGAGCGCAACGUAUUGGACGGUUUGCUCGACGCAGACUUCGAUCCUAAUGUGCUCUUGGAGGAGUCAGCGUCUUUGCAGGCGGCAGAUAAUGUGCACAACCACUACAUACUACAUCGAGCAAAGGCGGAGGCGUGGCAGUCACGCGUAGCUCAGGGAUUGGCAGAGGCAGUCGCGUUCGAAUCGCAAAAUCGUGCUUUCAUUUUGGCCGAAGAAAAAGUCAGCCGAGUAGCUGUGCUUGAGGCAAAACGAGCCGACAAAGUAUGUGUCACAAAGAUCAUGGAGAUGCGGGCAGAGCUAAAGUGGCAGACUGAACUGCAGCGGAGGGACGCAGAGCAGAGUCUCCUCAAAACUGCCGCCGCAGCUAUCAGCGACAUUGAUGCAAUCCCUUUUUUUCUAGCCAGCAGCAUAUCGGACGAGGCUCUUCGAGUUACGACCGCAGGCCAUGCUCUUGAGCUGAUCAAGGCCCUCUUGAGUACGCCAGAGAAUAUGAACAUUCGUCGGCUGCGAAACAACAACGAGCAUCUUCUGUGUGACUACGGCCACCCGUGCUUGAGUGCUUGUGACCCUGAAACCCGAGAGCGAUGCGUUUGCCAUACUGUUGUUUCUACAGCUGAGGUGCUGUGGCGCCGCAUAGGGUACACUAUCCGCUACACAAAGGUGCCUAAUCGCUCCCUCGACGUGUUGAGAAGUGAAGCUAAGGCCCGCUCCUUGCGCCUUCCAUGUGGGCGAAGCUUGUCAGUGCACAACUACGAACCAAUGGGCUUCGAAGACUACUCGGAACGACUCUUUGAACUCGCGGAGCCGGAUGCAAUGGUGCGGGCGGAUGAAUGGAUGGAGUGGUAUGCCAUGAUGCAGCGCAUGGAGUCGACGCUAUCAAGCAUGAUACCCAGAUCGUAUAGAUAGCCAACACUCAUCAUUUCUUAUCUCUUUUCUGAUAUGCAACAUUGUGAG
rnacentral:misc_RNA from 1 species